rnacentral:miRNA from 1 species
CAUAUACUCCCUCCGUUCCUAAAUAUAAGUCUUUCAAGAGAUUCUAUUAUAGGACUACAUAUGAAUGUAUAUAGACAUAUUUUAGAGUGUAGAUUCACUCAUUUUGCUUCGUAUGUAGUCCCCUAAUGAAAUCUCUUAAAAGACUUAUAUUUAGGAACGGAGGGAGUAUAUG